rnacentral:rRNA from 1 species
AGAGUUCUGGGCCGCACGCGCGCUACACUGACGGAGCCAGCGAGUAAUUCCUUGGCCGGAAGGCCCGGGUAAUCUUGUUAAACUCCGUCGUGCUGGGGAUAGAGCAUUGCAAUUAUUGCUCUUCAACGAGGAAUCCCUAGUAAGCGCAAGUCAUCAGCUUGCGUUGAUUACGUCCCUGCCCUUUGUACACACCGCCCGUCGCUACUACCGAUUGAAUGGCUCAGUGAGGCGUCCGGACUGGCCCAGGGAGGUGGGCAACUACCACCCAGGGCCGGAAAGCUCUCCAAACUCGGUCAUUUAGAGGAAGUAAAAGUCGUAACAAGGUCUCCGUUGGUGAACCAGCGGAGGGAUCAUUACCGAGUUAUCCAACUCCCAACCCCUGUGAAUUAUACCUUUAAUUGUUGCUUCGGCGGGACUUCGCGCCCGCCGGGGACCCAAACCUUCUGAAUUUUUUAAUAAGUAUCUUCUGAGUGGUUAAAAAAAAAUGAAUCAAAACUUUCAACAACGGAUCUCUUGGUUCUGGCAUCGAUGAAGAACGCAGCGAAAUGCGAUAAGUAAUGUGAAUUGCAGAAUUCAGUGAAUCAUCGAAUCUUUGAACGCACAUUGCGCCCGUCAGUAUUCUGGCGGGCAUGCCUGUUCGAGCGUCAUUACGCCCCUCAAGUCCCCUGUGGACUUGGUGUUGGGGAUCGGCAAGGCUGGUUUUCCAGCACAGCCCGUCCCUUUAAAUUAAUUGGGGGGUCUCGCCGGGGCCCUCCUCUGCGCAGUAAUAAAACACUCCCCAACAGGGGCCCCGGGGGGGGUCCACUGCCGUAAAAACCCCCCAACUUUUUUUAAGUUGAACCUCCAAAUCAGGGGGGGACUACCCCCCUGAAAUUUAAGCAUUUUCAAUAAGCCGGGGGGAAAAAAAAAACCCACCGGGGGGUUUGCCCCCCA